CAGUUUGCACUGAGCGUUCUCAUUGGUGACCCGAGACGACACGCCCAUCCCGCAGCUGCGCGAACAAGGUGUCCAGCUUGUCGUCUGAGCGACACAUUGCCGUCCGGCUUGCUUCCACACUAGGGAGAGAGAGACAGGAUUCCGUGGAUACUGGCCACAUCGUUGCCAUAGUUACACUCCAGGCCCUUGUGAUGGUCGCAGGGUCUGUCGUCAUGGCAGUCGUCGUUCAGCUGGGCGGCACAAACCUUACAGCAGCCGCAUUUGUCGGGCACUGCGCUGACACCUGGCGGGCACAUGGGCCGCUCCACCAGACACUUGCAGACCUUAGGACACCUCGCCCCAACCUGCAGACAGGACACAGACAGUCAGUGAGUUCAGACUGAGUUCGGUGCAACUGAAUAUGGCCACAUAAAACCUCUGCAGACAUCUAAUGUUCAGUUCUUAAUACUUUACUUUAGUAAAAAAAUAUGUGAAUAUAAUUGUGGUUAAUCUGAAUAAAAUGCAUCAGGAUGGCUGACAGAUAGAAAUGAAA